GCCGGAGUGGCGGAAUGGCAGACGCGCUGGAUUCAAAAUCCAGUUGGUGCAAACCAGUGUGGGUUCAACUCCCACCUCCGGUA
rnacentral:tRNA from 1 species